AAUAGAUACCCUGGUAGUCCACGCCGUAAACGUUGGGCGCUAGAUGUGGGGACCUUUCCACGGUUUCCGUGUCGUAGCUAACGCAUUAAGCGCCCCGCCUGAGGAGUACGGCCGCAAGGCUAAAACUCAAAGGAAUUGACGGGGGCCCGCACAAGCGGCGGAGCAUGCGGAUUAAUUCGAUGCAACGCGAAGAACCUUACCAAGGCUUGACAUACACGAGAACGGGCCAGAAAUGGUCAACUCUUUGGACACUCGUGAACAGGUGGUGCAUGGUUGUCGUCAGCUCGUGUCGUGAGAUGUUGGGUUAAGUCCCGCAACGAGCGCAACCCUCGUCGCAUGUUGCCAGCACGUUAUGGUGGGGACUCAUGUGAGACUGCCGGGGUCAACUCGGAGGAAGGUGGGGAUGACGUCAAAUCAUCAUGCCCCUUAUGUCUUGGGCUUCACGCAUGCUACAAUGGCCGGUACAAAGGGCUGCGAUGUCGUAAGGCGGAGCGAAUCCCAAAAAGCCGGUCUCAGUUCGGAUUGAGGU
rnacentral:rRNA from 1 species